UACGUAGGGGGCGAGCGUUGUCCGAAGUUACUGGGCGUAAAGCGCGCGUAGGCGGCUUUUUAAGUCUGGGGUGAAAGGUUCUGCGCUUAACGUGAACAGUGCCCUGGAGACUGGAAGGCUUGAGUGUGGGAGGGGGGGCAGUGGAAUUCCUGGUGUAGCGGUGAAAUGCGCAGAUAUCGGGAAGAACACCCGUGGCGAAGGCGGCUCUCUGGACGUUACUGACGCUGAGACGCGAAAGCGUGGGGAGCGAACGAGG
rnacentral:rRNA from 1 species